UACGUAGGUGACCAGCGUUGUCCGGAUUUACUGGGCGUAAAGAGCGCGCAGGCGGUCGAUCAAGUCGAGUGUGAAAGCCCCCGGCUCAACUGGGGAGGGUCAUUCGAUACUGUCCGACUCGAAGGCAGGAGAGGGAAGCGGAAUUCCCGGUGUAGUGGUGAAAUGCGUAGAUAUCGGGAGGAACACCAGUGGCGAAGGCGGCUUUCUGGCCUGUUCUUGACGCUGAGGCGCGAAAGCUAGGGGAGCGAACGGG
rnacentral:rRNA from 1 species